GGUAUUCCUUAUCUGUGUCUAAUACGUUGAAUUGUCUGGAGCCUGUCCCGCUGUGUCCGCAAUCCUUCAGGCACAGUGAGACAGGCUCGUCGUGUAUACCUUGCCAGUGGCAGGG
rnacentral:sRNA from 1 species